UACGGGGGGAGCAAGCGUUGUUCGGAUUUACUGGGCGUAAAGGGCGCGUAGGCGGCUUGUCAAGUCACUUGUGAAAUCUCUGGGCUUAACCCAGAACGGCCAAGUGAAACUGACAUGCUAGAGUGCAGAAGGGGCAAUCGGAAUUCUUGGUGUAGCGGUGAAAUGCGUAGAUAUCAAGAGGAACACCUGAGGUGAAGACGGGUUGCUGGGCUGACACUGACGCUGAGGCGCGAAAGCCAGGGGAGCAAACGGG
rnacentral:rRNA from 1 species